ACCUACUUUUUUCAACUCUUCCCAAACUAACCUAGUUUUUUCAUAUUCUAAUAUUUGGUUAUAAUUAUAAAUAUACAAUAUUAUUAAUAUAUAUAUAUUUAUUGAAUUAAUUUUUUGAAUAUUAUAUUUUCAAUAAUAAAUUAAAAUAUNUCUCGAAAUAAAGAACAAAAAAAAAUAGUGAGAAAACAAGCUAAUCCGAAAGAUUAAAAAUAAAGGUGCGAAAAAUUAAUUUUAAUCCCCGGCAGCGGCGCCAAAAACUUGAUGUGCUAGAAAUAAAACUUUUAAAUCGCAAGCGCACGAUCACCGUUUUAAUAUUUACAUUAAAGAUCUUUUUGAGGACAACGCGCACUGAUGUGCUAGAAAUAAAACUUUUAAAUCGCAAGCGCACGAUCACCGUUUUAAUAUUUAAGAUUCGUCCACAGAGAUUAAAAUUAUUUUCGCAACCUAUUAUUAUUAACCUAGGCGGAUGAGAACCAUAUUUUUAGAAUUUCGGGUUUAUUAGCUAAUUAAUGAGCAGGAGAAAUUGACUACUAAUUCGAAUACAACCAAUUAAACUAGAAAUUAACUAAAAUUAAACUCGCAAAUACAAGACUUAAAAGUUACAAAUAAUUAAGAAAGUUUCUGCAUGAUAUCUCUAAAAGCUAAGCUAGCCUAUAACAUAUUAUUAUCAACAGAAGAUAACCACGUUGACUACCCAGCCAUUUAGUUAAUCUAAAAGAAAUAUAAAAGGAAAUAAACUAGGCACAUGUACUAAAUACACUCACAAAAACAAUUCCUACACCAGGCUAAACGCGGGGUCACUGAACCUAGUAAACUAACAUGACGCUACAAAGGAAAUAAAAGAAAACUACAGAAAGUUAUACUCCACUGCUAGACUUAAAAAUAAAAGAAACGAAGCAAGCCAACAACUCGAAAAACAUGAACUAAUCAAAACAACUCGGUAAAAGAACAUGGACUCGAAAACAGACUCGAAUGGAAACCCAGCAGCAAGACUCAAUACUGGACUCAAUUACUAAAAAGUCUAAAACAAAGAAACACAGCAACAACUCGCAGAAUGAAAGAAACUACUCAAUACAAAACCCAGAACUCGGCGAUAAACAACUCUAACACAGAACAACGCAGCCACAACGAAAAGGACUCGGAAGAUGACUCAACUGACUCGGAAUAAUCGAACAAACACAACUACAACUCAGCUAAUCAGAACCCAAGCAGAGAAGACUCAAAAUUCCAAAUCAAACAAAACAAAGCCUACACUAAACUGGGAACUCAGCACAGCAACAACGCAAACUUAAAACUCGGAACUCGACCCUGGUAUUGAAAGAACAAGACUCAGCCACUCAAACAAAUCGCUGCAAGAACAGCCAUCAAAAACUCUACAAACAAACGCAGAACUCGACAAAAACUACAGAAACGCAGCGAUUCAAAAACAGAAAAAACAGAAAGCAUGAACUCGCGACUCGAACUAAACUAACGAAUUAAAACUCAGCUACUGAACCUAGUGACUCGAAAACUCAGAAUAUCGCGAACUCAGCAUCAUACAAAAGCGAAAUCAGAACCCAACUCAGCUUUUAAUAAACAGUAAUUAGACAACUCGGUGCAAACUCGGCGGCGACUCAGUCAUACCAAACAGAACAACAACUUGGUAAAUCAACAGUACUAAAACAGGGCAUGGCGUCGUAAGUUUAAAAUGGAACAGGGGUUUGGGAGUUCAUUUUAAUGAAAACAGAGGAAGGGUUUGGGGUUUUAUGUUUUAAACGAAACAGGGGAGAAGUGGGUUUGUAUAUAAAACAAGUAAUUUAACUUAAGCAAAAGCAGAUCUAGUCGAAAAGAACUGGGUUGGAUUAUUUUAAUAACGAAAUCAGAGCAAAUAAUAACUUACUAUUCGCACUUUAAAACUAUAAAUGUAAUAAUGUAGGAGUUUUAAGUCUAAACCCUAACACAAAUUAAUUUUGUGCUAGGAUUUAGUUUACUACUUCAAAAGAUCACAAAUCUACACUAAUCACAAACUCAAUGAUUCUUCAUUUCCCAAAAGCUUAAAAGCAUGGGGUGGUACUUUAGAAGAGUCAUUCAACUUGGAGAACAUAAAUUAAAAAGACAAUACAAGAUUAAGAUAAAAGAGAUUUGCAUAGAAAUUAAAGAGUGUAUACAAGCUUGGAAAGGAAAUUGGGGCUAGCAAAAUGUAAAUCUAUCUAAGAUACUAACUAUAGAAAUGACUAGGUAGAAAAGGUGGGUAGGUGGCUAGGGUUGCUAGGUUGGUGAUUACAAGUAAAAGAAGAGGGGUAUUUAUAACUAAAGAAUUAGGGUUUAGGGGUAGGGUGGCUCCAUCUUGACCAUCCAUGUGCCUUGAGUGUUGGGAGAAUUGUGGCCAUCCAUGUGUCCUUUACUUGCCAACCCUUUUUCUUUUUCUUCUUUUCUUUUCAUUUUCUUCUUUUUCUUGCAUUUUCUCUUCUUUCUUUAUUUAUCUACAAUUUCCUGAAAUAAAAUAAAUAAGCGAUUAAUACUACGAAAAUAAACAAAAAAUAGGCACUUAAAUAUGCAAAAAUAUGGACUAAUCAAACUUCCCCAUACCUAUCUUUUGCUCGUCCUCGAGUAAAAAUCAAAAGAAAAGAAAAUAAACUAAGAAAACUAGAUGCGAUUCCUAGGCUCCUUUUCGUAGGCGUGACGGGUGAUUUUAGGUUCACCAACCCGUUAAACUCGUAGACGAUCUCUACAAGAGGAGUUUUGUCUCCUAAGGGUUUACAGAAGAUAUACCCAUAAAAUCUUCGAGACAUUCUAGCAAGUGUCUACUCGACUCUACUCUAAUUUCGUUGGUGUUAACAAAAAGCGUUUUUAAGGAAAAUACGACUUAAAGACUCAUCUACUAAUAAUCAAGAUACAGUUGUCUCUAAUCUACUUGCAUCGACACAAAGAUUUACUAGAAAUCCAAGGAGUGUAAGUAAUUUAAGGCCUUUGAUGGAUCCUAAUUGUCUAAGAACACUUUCUCUUUUUCAACCAAUUUUGAACUGACCCAAUCUCUAUCGAAACAAAUAUCUAGCCAAACUUCACAAACUCUUAUUCUUUUUUUUUUCUUUUUUUUUUUUUUUUUUUUUUUUUUUUUUGGCAUUGACUUUAUUUUGUCCGUUUUCUUAGGCAAACAAUGUUACCCAUGUAGCGAGCUUUGGGUCAGUGACUCCCAAACCAAACGGUCUUAGGGCACUAGGUUUUGAAAUCCCCCUACGGACUUAAUUGCUCGAGUAACAAAGGCCACAAAACGAGACUAGCCAAUCUACUUUUGCCCAUUUAUCAAAAGAUUUUAUCUAUAAAGAACAAUGGGUAUUGAAGUAGUUAUUCCUUUUCUUUUUUUCUUUUUCUUUUUUUCUAUUCUUUUCCCUUUUUUUUAUUCGCAAAGGUUCGAUUCGACAUUGUUUCAACAUGUGGGUUCUCUCUCAGGUAUCGAAUAAUAUCACUAGACAAUCUCUCCAUCAAAGGUCUUGUGCAAAUGUGUGUGCCAUCUUGGAAUUACGAGUACAAAUCGGUCGAUACAAGUUUCAAAAAGACAACAUUACUCAACUACGUUCAAAUUAUCUAAAAGACAAGACACUAUAUAUACUUUUCGAAAACAUGCUAAACACCAACUACUCCUAAAGUUCGAGUGAGGGAAAGACAACUUAGCUAAAAGUAUCUCUAUUUUUGGAUUUUCUAAUUUUUUCAUUUUUUAGGGAUUUUCAUUUUUUAAGAAUUACACUAAAGCCCUCCCCAUACCUAAAUCAUGCAUUGUCCUCAAUGUAUGCAAAAGAGAGAAUUGAAAUGAGAGAGUAAAGAGGAAAAAUACCUGAAUAGG
rnacentral:lncRNA from 1 species